GUGACUGUAGCUCAGUGGUAGAGUAUCUGAUUUGCAAGCAGAAGCUCCUAGGUUCAAUCUCAGGCAUCUGCA